rnacentral:misc_RNA from 1 species
GAUUAAUUGUUUUUUUUUAACUUCAAACAGACCUUCGCUAAUUCAUUAUCUUAGCUUAAGAAAUGAAAAUUUGUAAAAGGUGAAAAAUUUGAGAUGAAAAUUUAAGUGAAACAGAAGGGAAGUGUAGAAACCAGAAAGGAAUCUAUGCCCAUGUAAGUAAUGGAUGUUACCCAUUACUUAAUGGCCAGUAACAUUCAUUACCGUUACAUAACAAAAGUAACAACUGAUAGCGAUACCAAUAUUUUUGUUGUUAUUUAAUGUGGGUAACGUUAACACCCACCUCAAAAACUUGUAUCCAACAGCCAUUACAUUAUAUAAUGGCUGUUAUUUAAAACCAAGGUUAUAACCCAUUAUUGGGCUUGCUUAAUUAUGUGAAGGAUUUGUUUUGUGGCGACACGAGGCAGAGCAUGGAUAACUUUUUGGUGACAGGAACCUGAUCACAGGCGAGAUCGGGAACAGACUAUUCUGAUGGUACGGGCGGUGUAGUAAGUUGAACCCCAAAAGCCCACCAACUUGAAACAGCAAUACCAUUUCUUACAGGGACAAAAUGAACCUGAGGGGGAAAGAAAAGAGCAGGGAGGAAAAACAAAGACCGAGAGGCUCUAAUACCAUGAAGUAAUACAAGAACGGAUAGAAAGUUGGCUGAAAAGUUUGAUUAUUCCCUCAA